rnacentral:rRNA from 1 species
CGGGUGAGUAACACGUGGGUAACCUGCCCAUAAGACUGGGAUAACUCCGGGAAACCGGGGCUAAUACCGGAUAACAUUUUGAACUGCAUGGUUCGAAAUUGAAAGGCGGCUUCGGCUGUCACUUAUGGAUGGACCCGCGUCGCAUUAGCUAGUUGGUGAGGUAACGGCUCACCAAGGCAACGAUGCGUAGCCGACCUGAGAGGGUGAUCGGCCACACUGGGACUGAGACACGGCCCAG